rnacentral:rRNA from 1 species
UACGUAGGGGGCAAGCGUUGUCCGGAAUCAUUGGGCGUAAAGCGCGUGUAGGCGGCCCGGUAAGUCCGCUGUGAAAGUCGGGGGCUCAACCCUCGAAUGCCGGUGGAUACUGUCGGGCUAGAGUGCGGGAGAGGCGAGUGGAAUUCCUGGUGUAGCGGUGAAAUGCGCAGAUAUCGGGAGGAACACCAAUGGCGAAAGCAGGUAACUGGACUAGUUACUGACACUCAGCUGCGAAAGCUAGGGGAGCAAACAGG